rnacentral:rRNA from 1 species
AGUGAACGCUGGCGGUAGGCCUAACACAUGCAAGUCGAACGGCAGCACAGUAAGAGCUUGCUCUUACGGGUGGCGAGUGGCGGACGGGUGAGGAAUACAUCGGAAUCUACUUUUUCGUGGGGGAUAACGUAGGGAAACUUACGCUAAUACCGCAUACGACCUACGGGUGAAAGCAGGGGAUCUUCGGACCUUGCGCGAUUGAAUGAGCCGAUGUCGGAUUAGCUAGUUGGCGGGGUAAAGGCCCACCAAGGCGACGAUCCGUAGCUGGUCUGAGAGGAUGAUCAGCCACACUGGAACUGAGACACGGUCCAGACUACUACGGGAGGCAGCAGUGGGGAAUAUUGGACAAUGGGCGCAAGCCUGAUCCAGCCAUACCGCGUGGGUGAAGAAGGCCUUCGGGUUGUAAAGCCCUUUUGUUGGGAAAGAAAAGCAGCAGGUUAAUACGCCGCUGUUCUGACGGUACCCAAAGAAUAAGCACCGGCUAACUUCGUG